rnacentral:rRNA from 1 species
AGUAACGCGUGGGUAACCUGCCUUGUACUGGGGGAUAGCAGCUGGAAACGGCUGGUAAUACCGCAUAAGCGCACAAUGUUGCAUGACAUGGUGUGAAAAACUCCGGUGGUAUAAGAUGGACCCGCGUCUGAUUAGCUAGUUGGUGAGAUAACAGCCCACCAAGGCGACGAUCAGUAGCCGACCUGAGAGGGUGACCGGCCACAUUGGGACUGAGACACGGCCCAA